rnacentral:rRNA from 1 species
UCAGGACGAACGCUGGCGGCGUGCCUAACACAUGCAAGUCGAACGGAGAGCAUAUGAAGUAUUCGGUACGGAAUGCGUUCUAGUGGCGAACGGGUGAGUAACACGUGGGCAACCUGCCCCAGACUGGGGGAUAACAUUGUGAAAACAGUGCUAAUACCGCAUGACAGGGUUCCGGGCAUCCGGGACUCUUGAAAGGAGAAAUCCGGUCAGGGAUGGGCCCGCGUCCAAUUAGCUAGUUGGUGGGGUAACGGCCCACCAAGGCGACGAUUGGUAGCCGAACUGAGAGGUUGAUCGGCCACAUUGGGACUGAGACACGGCCCAGACUCCUACGGGAGGCAGCAGUGGGGAAUAUUGGGCAAUGGGCGAAAGCCUGAACCCCCAGCGACGCCGCGUGAAGGAUGAAGGUCUUCGGAUUGUAAACUUCUUUGAUCAGGGAAGAAAGAAAUGACGGUACCUGAAAAACAAGCCACGGCUAACUACGUGCCAGCAGCCGC